rnacentral:rRNA from 1 species
UGGGGAAUUUUGCGCAAUGGGCGAAAGCCUGACGCAGCAACGCCGCGUGGAGGAUGAAGGUGCUCUGCAUUGUAAACUCCUGUCGGCCGGGAAGAAUCGGCGGGGUGCUAAUCAGCCCCGUCUUGACUGUACCGGCAAAGGAAGCCCCGGCUAACUCCGUGCCAGCAGCCGCGGUAAUACGGAGGGGGCAAGCGUUACUCGGAAUUAUUGGGCGUAAAGGGCGCGUAGGCGGUCUCGUGCGUCAGGGGUGAAAUCCCCGGGCUUAACCCGGGACGUGCCUUUGAUACGGCGAGACUUGAGUCCGGGAGAGGGGAGCAGAAUUCCCAGUGUAGCGGUGAAAUGCGUAGAUAUUGGGAGGAAUACCAGUGGCGAAGGCGGCUCCCUGGACCGGUACUGACGCUGAGGCGCGAAAGCGUGGGUAGCAAACAG